GACGAACCGUCCUAACGUUAUUCGGAAUCACUGGGCUUAAAGGGCGCGUAGGCGGACGAGCAAGUCCGGAGUGAAAUCCUUCGGCUUAACCGGAGAAGUGCUUUGGAUACUGCUCGUCUUGAGGGAGGUAGGGGCAUGUGGAACUUCUGGUGGAGCGGUGAAAUGCGUUGAUAUCAGAAGGAACGCCGGUGGCGAAAGCGACGUGCUGGCCCUCUUCUGACGCUGAGGAGCGAAAGCGUGGGGAGCGAACAGG
rnacentral:rRNA from 1 species